CUCACAAUUGGGUUAUGGUCUAUGGGUAGUAAAUGAGAGAUUCACCCAAAAAACAAACUUUGGGCCAAACACUUAUCCAGCCCUAACUCUCUCCACUCCCCUUCUCCCUCUGCAAGUUCCACCGCCCGCCGUGCUCAUUGUUGUGGACGACAUCGCCGCCGCCGGCAGCCGCACUCACCUGUCUCAGGUAUGGUCUUUGUUCCAUCUGGUGUCUUUCGAAUGCAGACUUUCACCGCAACUAAAACUGAAAUGAACAUUGGUGUGAUGAAUGAAACGAUUCAUAAAACUGAAUACCAUUAUCUAUUUCUUUACACUUUUGCAAUGCAAUGAUUCUUCUUGAAUAGGGAGAUAUUCGACAAGUUUGAUUUCAGUGGUGAAAUUGUUUUUAUUCUUUUGGAAUUUCUGUAAUAGCUUAUGAGCUUAUAAAUUAACAUUUUUGUUUGAGCAGGACAAAAAUGAAGAUUGUUUCACUUGCACUCAGGUCCUUGAGUGGCAAUUUAUCUCAUAGGUUUCACCAGACCCGAGGUCUUUCCCUCUGGAAUUUUUCAG
rnacentral:lncRNA from 1 species